rnacentral:tRNA from 3 species
UGGGGCAUCGUCUAACGGCAGGACAACGCUCUUUGGAAGCGUCGAUCAUGGUUCGAAUCCAUGUGCCCCAGCCA